AGUGAACGCUGGCGGUAGGCCUAACACAUGCCAGUCGAUCGGCAGCACAGUAAGAGCUUGCUCUUACGGGUGGCGAGUGGCGGACGGGUGAGGAAUACAUCGGAAUCUACUUUUUCGUGGGGGAUAACGUAGGGAAACUUACGCUAAUACCGCAUACGACCUACGGGUGAAAGCAGGGGAUCUUCGGACCUUGCGCGAUUGAAUGAGCCGAUGUCGGAUUAGCUAGUUGGCGGGGUAAAGGCCCACCAAGGCGACGAUCCGUAGCUGGUCUGAGAGGAUGAUCAGCCACACUGGAACUGAGACACGGUCCAGACUCCUACGGGAGGCAGCAGUGGGGAAUAUUGGACAAUGGGCGCAAGCCUGAUCCAGCCAUACCGCGUGGGUGAAGAAGGCCUUCGGGUUGUAAAGCCCUUUUGUUGGGAAAGAAAAGCAGCAGGUUAAUACCCCGCUGUUCUGACGGUACCCAAAGAAUAAGCACCGGCUAACUUCGU
rnacentral:rRNA from 1 species